AAAGGUGCUCCUUCUACAUUCGACGCCCCAUAUGUGUUUGUACUGUAAAUGUCUCCAUUCAGUGUAUGAAUAAAAUGAGUUCCUUAAAUUAGCAGAACAUCAUUCCUUCGCAGUACUUCUUAGUACUCCAUGGACUACUACCACAGCAAACAUCAACCCAUAUUGUUAGAGUGCGAUGACUGUAUUACUGUAUGACUAUAGACGAUCUCUGUUCUGCAUGUUGAAUAAAGGGACACGCCCACUCCUUGACUUCUCGGCGGUGAGAAGCGAAGCGAUGCAAACAUGAGACAAGAGCACGUGUCCAUGUGUCUUAUUAACUAGAGGCUAAUAUAUGCGUCAGGACUGUCUACUUCGGCUGGAGCGACGGGAGAGAGUUCCCGGGCGGCAAGAGAGACAACACAUAUUACUCCAUUAAAGAGGAGUUUCACAGGAUUGCAGGUAUGUGGUAUUUGUUUCACUGAGGCUAAUCUGAAAAAUGAUGAUCAGGUAAUAAUAUCUUGCUGUGAUCUGAAAUAAACUAAUAAAUGUGCAGGUGCACUGACUACUCUUUCUAAUGGUCACUGUAACUGACAUUACAUUGUUUACAUCAGCAAGAUCAUAUGUGAUGCUGCACGUAUCAUAAAUGUGAACUCAUGAAUAUAUCAUGAUUCAACCCUAAGUAACAGGCUGAACUGUGGUAAGUACAUGUAUGUCCUAUACACUUAUUUCAAAGCAUGCACUGACACUCACGAACACUUCUAUGCAGCACUAAAGUAAUCUAAACUUUCUUCUAGGAGAGAUUGACAGCUUUCUGCUGGAGAUAGUGGUUACCCAUGAAGGCCCACACUACUGACGCCUGACCCAGAACCUGAAGCAGGCCCCCAGCAGCGCUUUAAUGUGGCCCUGCAGAACAAGAGCCCGGGUGGAAAUGACCAUAGGCCUGUUGAAAGCACGUCUUCAGUGCCUACGUCACCUCGGGAAACACCUGAGAGGCCUGUGACAUGUGUUGUUCUCCACAUUAUUGCAAUUAUUAGAGGGGAGCAACACCCUGCCCUACAAAUACAAGACCCUGAGGAGAAUCCUUCCAUCACAGUGAUCUGCAGAGUGGAUGGACAGUCAGCUGUGAUUUGCUUUAAUGUCUUAAUCAACCAUCACCACCAAUAAAAGAAACUGAAUAGAUGUAAAUCAUAAUUUAUUUGUUUUUUUUUUUCAUUUCCUACAAAUAGAAAGGCAAUUGUUAGAUUUUAUAAUUCUUCCAAUAAUUCAUACAAUUCACCUUUAACUAUACACUCACCUCCAGCUUGUGUUUGGGAAUUUCAAUUUCUAGAUCUGUCUUUUCAAUCUUGUGGUACAAGUGUGAUUUUCCUUGAGAUUUAGUUUAUACAACUCAAUCGGUAACUUAAAAUACCGAAGAUUUAGAGUUACAUGACAUCUUGACAUGACAUGUUCCUCAUUACUCUUACAGAAUUGAACUCUGGCAUUUAUUGAACAUCACUGAACUGUGUGCAUCUGUGCAGCAGAAUGUGACUGACCUCCUGCUGUUCCUUCACACUCUGGGGCAGAGGGGAGAUAAUAAAGUCACUAUACUUGGAGAUCAAGUUACAUCCUUUAGGCUACGCAACACAAAUAUCAGAAAUCAUGUGUAUAAACUGUAUUAAUAUUACACUUUAUAAUACUUCUCAUCAUAAUUUAUGCUUUAUUUAAUAGUAUACUUACAACAUCCUGGGCUUCUGUUGUGACAGGAAGAUUCACAUAUUACCAUCAGAAUCUGUUAAGACCAACAAAGAACCCAACCCAGACUCUAAGAAAUUAAUAUAUCAAAAGUAGCCUAUGUAAAAAAUCAAAUGUAUAGGUAGGCCUCUUACAUUUUACACAUGCACUUGUAUCCUGGGGAGUGAGUGGUUCUGAUGAACUCCCUCCAGGAAUUCCUUCAGCCCCUGCUUUCCAGUGUUCAUGCCGAGGGCCUUCUCCUCUGCAUGCGUCAGUGGUGGUGGUGCAGGUCCUCCACCAGUUGUUCUAGCCUCAACUAACUGUGUGAAACAUUACAGCGAUGUUGAAAAUGCUGCUGCACUGCUAUACUCUGCAUGCUAUUUAGUUAUUUAAUAUGUCAAAUGUUGUCAGGAAGUAGUCAGGUAGUCUACACCCAUGACAUGAUGGUGCCUUAUACAUGUUUGAAUUAUGUUUUUAUAUUUAAUUUUUAGCCACGUUCUUUUAUGCCUGCAGGAUUGUGCCUACAUAAAAACUGAAUUAAAUUCUUAUAUUAUUACGUGUUUUGGGUAACUUUUAAAAACCUAAUUAGAUUGAUGUAAUAAUUGCUCUCCAUAAAACGUAUUGGAUUAUUGAAUUAUUACAAAUCCCACAUCAACCACAACAGGAAUUUUAAAAAUGCAUAGACAUAACACUGCACUUUUAAUUCAUACAAACAUCGGUAUUUUAUGCAAUUACUGAAGUAACUCCUUAGAUGAGUAAAAAAAUUACUUUACAAGUCCUUACUUUACAAGUGAAAUAUAACAAUACUAAAAUUAUUUAGUAUUUAGUUACGCUGAACACUGUAUGAUUAAAACGUAAACUUACGCAUUGACUCGAGCAGCUAUUUUCUUCCAAGCUAAUUCUUUCUCUUUCGCUGCUGCAGCCGUGUUGCCUUUUCUAUGGAUUAUAGACUCGUAGUCGUUUUAUGCUUGACGUAUCGUAUCCAUUUCCGGACGUCUUUUGUUGUCCUGUUGCCAUGGUGACUCAAUAUCUUCACUCCAUUGAUCAGGGCUUUGUAUCGUCGCGGUGCACGCGCUUAACUCUGAGUCAGACAACUCAGUUUCUUAAACCAACUCUUUUCAGCUGUUCUGGAACCGAAAACUCCAGGUUUGCAAACUCAGUAGAUCAACUAAGAGUUUAGUUUAAACUUAGAGUUUGUUAAACCUCCUACUUAAAACGGGCCCCUGAUGCAGGUGAUGGAGCCUUGUCCUGCAUAACCCUGGUCCUCUUUAAAAAGCGGACUUGUUCCUGUAUCACUGCAUGAAGUAAGUGUUAGUGAUGGGACAGGUGUCGUGCCAAAAAGUGACUGUCUGCCAGAAAUAGAUUUCCGCACGCGGGAGCGCGCGCCGCCUCGUUGAGGCGUUUAGCUCGGUUUGUGUAGGACCACAGCUGCUUAUUUCGGUUUCAAACGGCCAUAACUUGUAAAUAUGAUCCGCUACACGUUUUCUAGUGGACGUAGUGACGCCACGUCUUUUAAAUUUUGUGUAAACGACAUUUUUAACUUGCUGCAUGGGACUAGUUAAACCAGUAAGAUGCUUUCAUGUUGCCAAAACGUGAUUUUUAGAAGCAAAGCUUUUGAUCAAAAGCCUAAUUCUGCAUUCUUAAAUACAUUGAGCCCUGCUUUGUUAAAUUUACAGAUGUAAUAAAUAUCCAGUCCAUCUGAUCUUUGUCUGAUCGUUCCUAAUACCAGUAGAACCAGUAGCAUGCUGGUUUUAUGCUGCCACAAAGUGAUUAAAGCCAAUAUCUGUUUACUGAAAGCUUCUUUCUCCCUUAUUUUAAGUUCAUGGAGCUCUGCUGGGUUAUAUUAACAGAUUUAAUGAGCAUUCAGUACAUCUUAUCACUGUCUACACCUGUCUGAGACCAGUUAAACCCAUGAGAUGCUGUCUUCACGUUGCCAAAAAGUAAUUAUAGCCAAUAUCUUUUGAUAAGAAGCUUAUUUCUGCCUCAUUUUAAGUCAGUGGAGCUCUGUGUCAUAUUAACACAUUCAAAUUAACUUAACCGCUGUCUGCACCUGUGAGCUAGAAUCACUUUUUGGCAACAUGAUAACAAGCCUUUUCUUGGUUCUACUGAUUUCAGACUGGUACAAGAAGUGAUCGGAUGGACUGGACGUUAACUAAAUCUUCAGUUUGAUCCAGUAGAACUGUCAAGAACACACGGAGGAGGACCCACAUGCACAGCGCAGACGAGUAGCUGUGCUUCUCUCUCUCUCUCUCUCUCUCUCUCUCUCUCUCUCUCUCUCUCUCUCUCUCUCUCUCUCUCUCUCUCUCUCUCUCUCUCUCUCUCUCUCCUCCACUCUGUCCUCACCUACAGGUAUCAUAGGACUCAAAGUUUGGUGUCUGUGAUGGGCAGCUGCGGAUCCAACCAUCCUGCCUGCAUCCAGUCCCUGGUCCAACCAUCCUGCCUGUGCUGUGUUGUUGCUUGUUGCUGUUGCUGUGCUAUUCUCUCUCUCUAUCCUCUCACCCCAACCGGUCGAGGCAGAUGGCCACCCACAUUCAGCCUGGUUCUGCUGGAGGUUUCUUCCUCGUUAGAGAGGGAGUUUUUCCUCUCCACUGUUGCUGUCAAAUUAAAUGCUUGCUGUAUGUGGGAUUUGUUGGGUUUAGUUGUGUGAGGUCUUAAACCUUACUUUGUAAAGUGCCUUGAGAUAACUUUGUUGUGAUUUUGAGCUAUAUAAAUAAAUUUGAAUUGAAUUAAAUCUGUUAAUAUAACCCAGCAGAGCUCCAUGAACUUAAAAUAAGGGAGAAAGAAGCAUUCAGUAAACAGAUAUUGGCUUUAAUCACUUUGUGGCAACAUAAAACCAGCAUGCUACUGGUUCUACUGGUCUCUGUGUAUUACAUCUGUAAAUAUAACAAAGAAGAGCUCGAUGUAUUUAAAAUAGGGCAGAAUUAGACUUUUGAUCAAAAGUUUUGGUUCUAAUAAUCACGUUUUGGCAACAUGAAAGCAUCUUACUGGUUUAACUGGUCUCAUGCAGAUAUUAAAAGUGGUCAAAAACUCGGUGGUCACUCGUACAGUUUAAAUCAGAGUCAAGAGUCUAUAUAGUAUUUACAAGUUAAGGCUUUUUGAAAUCGAAAUCGAUUUCUGGCAGAUGAAGAGCGAAACCCCGUUUCAGUGCGCGUAUCGCGUUGGGAAAGUCACGUGACUGAUAGUCACUGGCGCGCCAAACUGUGUUUAUAAGGAAGCGAAUGUAUCAGGCAGUAUCUGCAAAAAAAGAGGAAGGAGCAACAUUUAGCCAAAAGAAAGGUUUUCACCUAAUAUUGGAAAAUAAGAUAACAUUUGGCAAGAUCUCAUCAUUGAAGUGGGCAGAUAGACCAAAAAUGCCACAGCUGAAGCCAUCCAUGAGGUGCAGACAUACUUUGCAGAGGGCGAUAUCACCAGGUCCCAGGAUGAGAUACUGGGUCCACCAAAAGACAAUCUGUCCAACCUCUUCCAGCUGUCCUUACAGUUUCUCUGCACUCCAGCCUCAUCUGUGUCAUGUGAACAGGUGUUUUCUACAGCUGGACAAGUUGAAUCAAAAAAGCUAACAGACUCAAUUUUAAAACGUUGGAAAGACUUUUUUAUAAAAAUUU